GACGAACGCUGGCGGCGUGCCUAAUACAUGCAAGUCGAACGAGUGGCGGAUGGGUGAGUAAUGACUGGGAGACUGCCUGAUGGAAGGAGAGAACAACGGGAAAAGGUCGCUAAUACCGCAUACCUUCACAUGUGCCAAGAGGGGAUUAGCUGGGAGGUGGGGUAACGGCUCACCUAGGCGACGAUCCCUAGUUGGGCUGAGAGGAUGACCAGCCACACUGGAACUGAGACACGGUCCAGACUCCUACGGGAGGCAGCAGUGGGGAAUAUUGCACAAUGGGCGCAAGCCUGAUGCAGCCAUGCCGCGUGUGUGAAGAAGGCCUUCGGGUUGUAAAGCACUUUCAGCGGGGAGGCGUUACCCGCAGAAGAAGCACCGGCUAACUCCGUGCCAGCAGCCGCGGUAAUAC
rnacentral:rRNA from 1 species